rnacentral:miRNA from 1 species
CAAACGGACGUUACGGCAACCGC